rnacentral:lncRNA from 1 species
CCGUGUCCCUCGUCACCCGAUGGCCUCUCUCGGCGUGACCGUCCUGGCUGGGUGACCAGGCUUGUCAGGCCCUUCAUGCAUUCCCGACCCUCCCCCGCCCCUUGGUUUAACCUCCAGGGGAUCUUUCUAUUGACACCUGCACGCCUUGUUUCCUCCUCCUGCGACUUCCUUGGCGGCCGUCUGUGCAGAUCGCCCGUCUGGUUCUAUCCACCUGGCACAGCCGGAAUGCUGCUCUGUUUCCUGCACUCCCAUGCAACAAGUAAAAAAAAAUCAUUCCUGCUGUGUGUUUUUUUAUCUCCGUCGAGAGGCUGAAACUCAAUCCGAUUGUCCAAGUGCUUCUGGCCGCAUUUGGGUCAGAGUAGACGGAGUUUGAUGAGGGUCGUAAAAUCCAGGCUUUGAACGGGUCUCAAAUUGGCGCAUGAAGGAGAAACACGGAGAGUAGAAACAUGGCGGCGGCAGGAGGCUCAGGAAUGUGAGCUGCAGAACCGGGUGCAGGUGCCUUUAAUAACCCACAAGCUUGGCUGUAACUUGCUUCUAGAAACGCAGAGGAGGCUGCAGGGUCGCCCUCAGAGGACUGGGAUCGAACUUCUCAGUUCCCUACUCUUGCACAGCUUUAAAAAUACAAAUCCCAGCAUCCUCCAUAACAACGGACCCCUCAGCCAGCUCAGGGAAACGGCUGCAGCCCCACUGUCUCCUGUGAAGUGCCCCGGAUUGGAUUUCCGAGGCCCCCCCGGCCCCGAGGACCACUCUGAGGCUCAGGCCAGGGACCUCAUUCCGCCCACACGCCGCUGCUGCCCGGAUGGAAUCCAUCGACUCCCGUAUAUCAACACCUCCCCUGAAACAUGAAGGAUGCGACGGUUUCAAUGAUUGAUUUAUUUCAAGCCACCAGUCGUGGCGGAGACAUCAAUAGGCUCGUGUUAGGAUUCCCCCUAAUUUUUCAGGCUUUCCAAAGGACAGCUUGAAAUAUCUCAGCAUGAAUCGAGCCAAUGUAGAGAGGAGGCCUGAGGGGAUGAUCAGGUCAGCACCUGCCACCCCCCCCCCCACCCCCCCGACGUGGGCUCUCCAGGGCACAGGCCAGGUGUCCUUAACCCAACUCUAUGUGGUGACUAUGAAUGGAGCAGCUUUACCGCAUCGAGUCCUGUUAUAGCCCCAGGGACACAGUGAGGAAAACGAUGUGGCCUUGACCUUCGAGGAGCUCACGGUCCAGUGAGGGGUUUGGGUUGUGCACAGAAAGGCUUAACACCCCUGAUUAUGGCUUAAUAUAAAGAGCAGGUGAAGGUGAGCUGGGGAACACAUAGCAGAGAGAGAAUAUUCGAUGUUUAAAUAUUUUUCACAAAUCACUC